CCUGAUACUUUGAAAGUGUUACUGGGCCUCCCUACCUCCAACGAGGUGGGACAUCAUCAUCCUACAACGCCCAUUGCACAUUCUAGUGUCUUCCCCAGACAACAGCAUUGCAGGCAACAAGGUGGUUAUUAGUAAAAAGGAAGGAAAAAAAACAUUAAAAAUAAAGAUUAAAAAAAGGUGAGAAAGGAAAGAACAAAUAACGUAUCAGUUACAUAUUAGAAAAAAAAAUAUUUAAAAAAUAUGAGGGAACGUUAGAGCUUAAAUAAUAACAGAAGAGAGUUUUGAACUGCCUGGUACUUUGAAAGUGUCACUGGGCCUCCCUACCUGCAAAGAGGUGGGACACCAUCUUCCUACAACGCCCAGUGAACUUUCUAUUUAGACAACAGCAUUGCAGGCAACAAAGUGGUUAUUAGUAAAAAAAAGAAAAUAAAACAUUAAAAAUAAAAAUUAAUAAAAGGUGAGGAAAAGGAGGAACAAAUAAAGUAUCAGUUACAUAUUAGAAAAAAAAUAUU